rnacentral:rRNA from 1 species
CCUACGGGAGGCAGCAGUGGGGAAUAUUGCACAAUGGGGGAAACCCUGAUGCAGCGACGCCGCGUGAGUGAAGAAGUAUUUCGGUAUGUAAAGCUCUAUCAGCAGGAACGAGACAAGACGGUACCUGACUAAGAAGACCCGGCUAACUACGUGCCAGCAGCCGCGGUAAUACGUAGGGGGCAAGCGUUAUCCGGAAUCACUGGGGGGAAAGGGAGCGUAGACGGCUGAGCAAGACUGAAGUGAAAGGCGGGGGCCCAACCCCCGGACUGCUUUGGGAACUGUACGGCUGGAGUGCAGGAGAGGUAAGUGGAAUUCCUAGUGUAGCGGUGAAAUGCGUAGAUAUUAGGAGGAACACCAGUGGCGAAGGCGGCUUACUGGACUGUAACUGACGUUGAGGCUCGAAAGCGUGGGGAGCAAACAGGAUUAGAUACCCUGGUAGUC